GACGAACGCUGGCGGCGCGCCUAACACAUGCAAGUCGAACGAGCGAGAGAGAGCUUGCUUUCUCAAGCGAGUGGCGAACGGGUGAGUAACGCGUGAGGAACCUGCCUCAAAGAGGGGGACAACAGUUGGAAACGACUGCUAAUACCGCAUAAGCCCACGGCUCGGCAUCGAGCAGAGGGAAAAGGAGCAAUCCGCUUUGAGAUGGCCUCGCGUCCGAUUAGCUAGUUGGUGAGGUAAUGGCCCACCAAGGCGACGAUCGGUAGCCGGACUGAGAGGUUGAACGGCCACAUUGGGACUGAGACACGGCCCAGACUCCUACGGGAGGCAGCAGUGGGGAAUAUUGCACAAUGGGGGAAACCCUGAUGCAGCGACGCCGCGUGGAGGAAGAAGGUCUUCGGAUUGUAAACUCCUGUUGUUGAGGAAGAUAAUGACGGUACUCAACAAGGAAGUGACGGCUAACUACGUGCCAGCAGCCGCGGUAAAACGUAGGUCACAAGCGUUGUCCGGAAUUACUGGGUGUAAAGGGAGCGCAGGCGGGAAGACAAGUUGGAAGUGAAAUCCAUGGGCUCAACCCAUGAACUGCUUUCAAAACUGUUUUUCUUGAGUAGUGCAGAGGUAGGCGGAAUUCCCGGUGUAGCGGUGGAAUGCGUAGAUAUCGGGAGGAACACCAGUGGCGAAGGCGGCCUACUGGGCACCAACUGACGCUGAGGCUCGAAAGUGUGGGUAGCAAACAGGAUUAGAUACCCUGGUAGUCCACACUGUAAACGAUGAUUACUAGGUGUUGGAGGAUUGACCCCUUCAGUGCCGCAGUUAACACAAUAAGUAAUCCACCUGGGGAGUACGACCGCAAGGUUGAAACUCAAAGGAAUUGACGGGGGCCCGCACAAGCAGUGGAGUAUGUGGUUUAAUUCGACGCAACGCGAAGAACCUUACCAAGUCUUGACAUCCCUUGACGAUGCUGGAAACAGUAUUUCUCUUCGGAGCAAGGAGACAGGUGGUGCAUGGUUGUCGUCAGCUCGUGUCGUGAGAUGUUGGGUUAAGUCCCGCAACGAGCGCAACCCUUAUGGUCAGUUACUACGCAAGAGGACUCUGGCCAGACUGCCGUUGACAAAACGGAGGAAGGUGGGGAUGACGUCAAAUCAUCAUGCCCUUUAUGACUUGGGCUACACACGUACUACAAUGGCGUUAAACAAAGAGAAGCAAGACCGCGAGGUGGAGCAAAACUCAGAAACAACGUCCCAGUUCGGACUGCAGGCUGCAACUCGCCUGCACGAAGUCGGAAUUGCUAGUAAUCGCAGAUCAGCAUGCUGCGGUGAAUACGUUCCCGGGCCUU
rnacentral:rRNA from 1 species